GAAGCAAAAAACCACUUGGUCAUCCUACUCUUGAAACCAAAAUCCAUGAACGGUCAAGGCAAGGUUCUAUGUCUUUGAGCCAGCGUGCCUCAACACAGAACGACAUGCCCAACAUUGUCUUCCAUGCUAUCUUCUCUGACACAAGAACACCCCCUCCUUAUGUUGUUUUAACUAGUAAGAAGACCAAGCAAGAUGAAGCUAAAGGCAGGAACCGCAUGUAGCGACC
rnacentral:lncRNA from 1 species